AGAGGAUGAUCAGCCACACUGGGACUGAGACACGGCCCAGACUCCUACGGGAGGCAGCAGUGGGGAAUCUUAGACAAUGGGCGCAAGCCUGAUCUAGCCAUGCCGCGUGAGUGAUGAAGGCCUUAGGGUCGUAAAGCUCUUUCGCCUGUGAUGAUAAUGACAGUAGCAGGUAAAGAAACCCCGGCUAACUCCGUGCCAGCAGCCGCGGUAAUACGGAGGGGGUUAGCGUUGUUCGGAAUCACUGGGCGUAAAGCGCACGUAGGCGGAUCAGAAAGUUAGGGGUGAAAUCCCGGGGCUCAACCUCGGAACUGCCUCUAAAACUCCUGGUCUAGAGUUCGAGAGAGGUGAGUGGAAUUCCAAGUGUAGAGGUGAAAUUCGUAGAUAUUUGGAGGAACACCAGUGGCGAAGGCGGCUCACUGGCUCGAUACUGACGCUGAGGUGCGAAAGUGUGGGGAGCAAACAGGAUUAGAUACCCUGGUAGUCCACACCGU
rnacentral:rRNA from 1 species